rnacentral:rRNA from 1 species
UACGGGGGGGGCAAGCGUUGUUCGGAAUUACUGGGCGUAAAGAGCGCGCAGGCGGUCGAUCAAGUCGAGUGUGAAAGCCCCCGGCUCAACUGGGGAGGGUCAUUCGAUACUGAUCGACUCGAAGGCAGGAGAGGGUAGUGGAAUUCCCGGUGUAGUGGUGAAAUGCGUAGAUAUCGGGAGGAACACCAGUGGCGAAGGCGACUACCUGGCCUGUUCUUGACGCUGAGGCGCGAAAGCUAGGGGAGCAAACAGG